rnacentral:tRNA from 1 species
GCCUGUGUGGCUCAGUGGAUAGAGCAUUGGCCUACAGACUGAGGGGUCCCCGGCUCGAUUCCGGUCAAGGGCA